UUCAGUUGCGAUCUUCAAUAGGCCUUACUCGCACAGUGACAUUUAUUUGGAAAUUAUGUUUGCAAUGUAGGCCUGCGAAGAUAAUAUAUUGUGCCUGCCCAGUUUUUGCUGUUUUGGAAAUGUGACAGGUCCUGCAGCCAGCAACGAAAGAGCUACUUUUGCUGGACUCGCUUAGACCAGAUGGCUUUGGCGACAGUUGUUACCAUAACAUAUUUAGGUUUCGUAACAUGAGAACAAUCAGCCCUGUUCUGUGGCUUGUUCAGUACUGGAAUUCUACAGAAUUCAUAGUAUUCCAAUAAUGCAGUAACACAGCUCAUUGGCCAGCGAGACAUGGCACACAUCAGGACAUGAUGGUGCAUUAAUUUGAUGGAACGGUUCCAGAUUGAUGGGUAAGACAACUUUAAAUGUAACUUCCUACACAACAUUAAUUAUACAUUAGUUAACCUUUUUUUCUGUCACUGUCACUCGAAAGCCACCGACAGAGGUUUGCAUACUGGACAAAUGAGGCCCCAGCAUUGCUCUAAGGAUCACUGCAGCCGAUCUACAGGAUCCCGAAGACCAGAAAAAGGGAUCAUGAGAUGCCAACAUCUGUGCUUGAUGAAAUCCUCAAAGAGGUGGUGCUCCAGGAAGGAGAUAAUGUCUACCUGACAUUGGCUCUGAAGCGCCGCUCUCGCUAUGGAAUCGGCAGGAUUCAUCAAGUGCAUCUCCUGCUGCCUCUGGAGUCUUCAGUCGAGCCUGCCUCUUACCAGCCAAUCAAAAAACGAAAGGGGCUACAUAAAAGCCAAUCAGAAAAUACCCCUACUGUAUCUGGGUAAGAUUUAACGCAACAACCAAUGACAAAAAUCAGUUAUUUACGGAUUCGUCCACGUGACUCUUCUGAAUGUUUCAGUGGUAAAGUGUGUAAAGUAUGAC
ensembl:lncRNA